AUCGACAAACAACGACGCGAUGACGAACAAUUCAUCGCUGAGCUGCUCUGGUUCUCCCUCAAUCUCUCCACUGUAGGGUUUUGACUUUAUUGCGAUUUGAUCUGCUCUGGUUUUAUUUUAAUUUUAAUUUGAGCAGGUGGGUAUGACAAAGAAGAGAAAGCAGCUAGGGCUUAUGAUAUGGUUGCACUGAAGUACUGGGGAACAUCUACCACUACAAACUUCCCUAUCAGUAAUUACGAAAAGGAACUUGAGGAGAUGAAACACAUGACCAGGCAAGAAUUUGUAGCCUCAAUUAGAAGGUUUUAACUCAUUUGCUGAGAAUGGAUAGAUGAGCAUCACAAUAUGUGCUGAUUUAAUAUUGAUUUAAAGCAUCUCAUAAAGCAUAAAGGUAGGGACAUAAAGCUUAACUCAUAAAGCAUCUCCUACAACUACAUAAAGAUGACUUUGUUGCGUGGACUUGCAGAGAUAUUUUGGUGUAUGGAGAAGAAAUUGCAUUUUUGUAUAGAAGUAAUAUAAUACUUUUGUCGUCUCCAGCUUUUGUACAGUUAACUAUUACUGAUACAGAAAACUUUUGGUAGUGAACAGCUAAUUCCUGGCAUGGUAGAUAGAUUACAUUUUGAUGCCAUACAGGUAUAUAAUUUUUGUCGUGGUACAUAGAUGUAUUUUUGGCUUGGUACAUACAUCACCUUUUGUCGUGGUACAGAUUACGGUGGUAAUUUGUACCAUGCCAAAUGGUCAUUUCA